CUGAUUCGCAGGCUACUACGGAGAUGCCUCUGAGGAAACACCACCCUCCGCGCAGCCCCAGAGCCCCGCGAGGGGCUAGGGUAAUACCCUAGGUCCCGGCACAGAAACGAUAUGGCUACAAGCUGAUGAGGAUGAAGUAGUAAGACUCCUUAGGCAACUAAGGAGUAGCCAAUCUGCAGACGAGGCUUGUAGAUGCAGUGAAACGGCCGACCUCUGGGGAGUAAGGCAAGCCCCUGAUGAAGGCUGCGUGAAGGGGUAAAGCCGCUUAGCCAAAUGUAGUUGACUACAGAAGGUGGGUUAUUGCGAAUCAG
rnacentral:RNase_P_RNA from 1 species